GUGUGUGUGUGUGUGUGUGUGUGUUUUGUUUACAAGUUUUAACGUGGGAAGGAGAGUGAGAGAAGGAAGGGGAAUUAAUGGAGACAGGAGGAACAGGGACGGUGCUCUGCGAGACGGGGAACCAAUUGCAGUGAAGGAGGCAGAGGAAGGAAGAAGAGAAUGAGGGGAGAAAGAGGAGCUAGACAAAUAGGAGAGAAGAAGAGGAGGAAGAAGGGGAUAAGGAGAGGGACAAUUCUACGAGGGUUCCUCAAGCAUGGUGUCGGGUUGGUGUCAGCUCCCAGCCUUCAUUACUGACUGACUGACUGGCUGGAUCUCUGGCUACCGUACCUCCGUUCCCCUGGCUGGCGUUUACCCUCUCCGUCUGGGUCCAUGUGCUCAACCUCCUGUUUUGGUAUCUCGCGCUCCUCUGCGUUGGUCCACCCUCACACCUGGCUACCAAGUGUCACCUCUCUGUUUUGCUACCCCGCGGUCGUCCACUCUCCUUGCCGGGGUAUCUAGAGUUGGUCCACCCUCACGCCUGGCUACCAAGUGUCACCCUCCUGUUUUGCUACCCCGCGCUCGACCGCUCUCCUUGCCUGGGUAUCUCAAGUUGUCCCAUCCUCACGCCUGGCUACCAAGUGUCACCCUCCUGUUUUGCUACCCCGCGGUCGUCCACUCUCCUUGCCUGGGUAUCUCACGUUGGUCCACCCUCACGCCUGGCUACCAAGUGUCACCCUCCUGUUUUGCUA